AGAACAUCCAAACCAAAAUUAGAAUCGGCAGAGUUACUUAUGGCUUAUUUCAUGACAUCUACUCAUAGAACCAAUUGGAUUUUUACUCCCCAAGAUAUUGCUUACUGGUAAUAUUGAUAGCUAGAUUGUGAAGUAUGGAACAACACGAAUGGAAGUUGAUAUUGAUGGGUCGUUCUUGUAUGCUGAAACCCAAAAUGAAUAUAGUGCGUCCAUAACCGCUCAAGGUUGAAGAAGAACAACUUCUAAGGGCUUUUUACGAGUUCAAAAUUCAAGACGUCUGUGAUGCUUUUAAGUUCCCACAUAAGAUUCAGGCAACAGCUCUCAUUUACUUUAAGAGGUUUUAUCUGCAAUGGUCUGUGAUGGAACAUCACCCCAAAAACAUAAUGUAAGCUUCUUAU